CACAGCACAAAACAACAAAUACCAUAAAUGCAGCCCACCUCCUAGUAAAACACUGAGCUAAACUAUAACUAUAGAUAAACUAAUGCUAAAACUAGUAACAAGAAAUAUUCUCUUGGCACACCUGUAACCCAGAAAUAGACAAACCUACUGGAUCUUAACAGACCACAACAGGAAAAACACUGACUGUUCCAUCUACUGUUAAACCAACACCGGGAUGCCACUAAGACAGAUUUAAAGUUAUUUAAGGAACUCAGCAAAACUUGUCCCAACUGUUUACCAAAAACAUAGCCUUUAGCACUCAAAGUAUUAAAGGUCCCGCCUGCCCAGUGAGACAUUUUUAACGGCCGCGGUAUUCUAACCGUGCAAAGGUAGCGUAAUCACUUGUCUCCUAAAUAGAGACCAGUAUGAACGGCUAAAUGAGGACAAACCUGUCUCUAAUAACUAAUCAGUGAAACUGAUCUCUCAGUACAAAAGCUGAGAUAAACACAUAAGACGAGAAGACCCCGUGGAGCUUCAAACAAAACACUAACCCAACACCUGGGACCUAGCAUACUGUUUUAAGUUGGGGCGACUUCGGAAUAAAACAGAACUUCCGAGCACAGAAGCACCACUUCUCUCUAAGGCCAACAAGCCUUAGUACUAAAACUGACCCGGCACUUCGCCGAUCAACGAACCAAGUUACCCCGGGGAUAACAGCGCUAUCUUCUUCAAGAGUCCCUAUCAACAAGAAGGUUUACGACCUCGAUGUUGGAUCAGGACACCCAAAUGGUGCAGCCGCUAUUAAUGGUUCGUUUGUUCAACGAUUAACAGU
rnacentral:rRNA from 1 species